rnacentral:rRNA from 2 species
GGGAUCGCGUGUAGAAAAAAAAGCGUGGGCAACCUGCCCUUGAGACGGGGAUAACUCCCCGUAAACCGGAGCUAAUACCGGAUAACACAUAUCUUCGCAUGAGGAUAUGUUAGAAGGUGGCUUUUAGCUACCACUCAAGGAUGGGCCCGCGGCGCAUUAGCUAGUUGGUGAGGUAACGGCUCACCAAGGCGACGAUGCGUAGCCGACCUGAGAGGGUGAUCGGCCACACUGGGACUGAGACACGGCCCAGACUCCUACGGGAGGCAGCAGUAGGGAAUCUUCCGCAAUGGACGAAAGUCUGACGGAGCAACGCCGCGUGAGUGAUGAAGGUUUUCGGAUCGUAAAGCUCUGUUGUUAGGGAAGAACAAGUACCUGUUAAAUAAGCAGGUACCUUGACGGUACCUAACCAGAAAGCCACGGCUAACUACGUGCCAGCAGCCGCGGUAAUACGUAGGUGGCAAGCGUUGUCCGGAAUUAUUGGGCGUAAAGCGCGCGCAGGCGGUUCCUUAAGUCUGAUGUGAAAGCCCACGGCUCAACCGUGGAGGGUCAUUGGAAACUGGGGAACUUGAGUGCAGAAGAGGAGAGCGGAAUUCCACGUGUAGCGGUGAAAUGCGUAGAGAUGUGGAGGAACACCAGUGGCGAAGGCGGCUCUCUGGUCUGUAACUGACGCUGAGGCGCGAAAGCGUGGGGAGCGAACAGGAUUAGAUACCCUGGUAGUCCACGCCGUAAACGAUGAGUGCUAAGUGUUAGAGGGUUUCCGCCCUUUAGUGCUGCAGCAAACGCAUUAAGCACUCCGCCUGGGGAGUACGGUCGCAAGACUGAAACUCAAAAGGAAUUGACGGGGACCCGCACAAGCGGUGGAGCAUGUGGUUUUAAUUACGAAGCAACGCGAAGAAUCCUUACCAGGUCUUGACAUCCUCUGCUACUUCUAGAAGAUAGGAAGGUUCCCUUUCGGGGACAGAACUGACAGGUGGCUGCAUGCGUCGUCAGCCUCCGUGUCGUGAGAUGUUGGGAUUACGUCGGCACCGAGCGCAUCCUGAAUCUAGCUGCCAGCAUUUAGUUGGCACUCUGAGGUGCAAACUGCCGCGUGAACCAAAACUG